rnacentral:rRNA from 2 species
GGCAGGCCUAACCACAUGCAAGUCCGAGCGGAUGAGUGGAAGCUUUGCUCCCAUGAUUUCAGCGGCGGACGGGGUGAGUUAAAUGCCCUAGGAAUUCUGCCCUGGUAGUGGGGGGAUCAACCGUUUCGAAAGGAACGCCUAAAUACCGCAUUACGUCCUACGGGGAGAAAGUGGGGGGAUCUUCGGACCUCACGCUAUCAGAUGAGCCUAGGUCGGAUUAGGCUAGUUGGUGAGGUAAAGGCUCACCAAGGCGACGAUCCGUAACUGGUCUGAGAGGAUGAUCAGUCACACUGGAACUGAGACACGGUCCAGACUCCUACGGGAGGCAGCAGUGGGGAAUAUUGGACAAUGGGCGAAAGCCUGAUCCAGCCAUGCCGCGUGUGUGAAGAAGGUCUUCGGAUUGUAAAGCACUUUAAGUUGGGAGGAAGGGCAGUAAGUUAAUACCUUGCUGUUUUGACGUUACCAACAGAAUAAGCACCGGCUAACUUCGUGCCAGCAGCCGCGGUAAUCCGAAGGGUGCAAGCGUUAAUCGGAAUUACUGGGCGUAAAGCGCGCGUAGGUGGUUCGUUAAGUUGGAUGUGAAAGCCCCGGGCUCAACCUGGGAACUGCAUCCAAAACUGGCGAGCUAGAGUAUGGCAGAGGGUGGUGGAAUUUCCUGUGUAGCGGUGAAAUGCGUAAAUAUAGGAAGGAACACCAGUGGCGAAGGCGACC